UAGGGUCUCACUGUGUUGCCCAGGUUGGAGUGCAGUGACAUGAUCAUGGCUCACUACAGCCUUGACCUCCCUGGGCUCAAGUGAUCCUCCCACCUCAGCUUCCUGAGUAGCUGGGACCACAUGUGUGCACCACCAUACCCAGGUAAUUUUUGUAUUUUUUUUUUUUUUAUGGAGACAGGGUUUCACCAUGUUGCCCAGGCUGUUUUUGAACUCCUGGACUCAAGACAUCUACCCAUCUCGGCCACCCAAACUGCAGGGAUUACAGGCAUAAAGCACCACGCCCGACCAGCCAGUCCCAACUGGAAAGGAGUUUGGAAAAUAUAUUUCUGUGAGAUACCUCUGCUUCCUGCUGCCCCUAUUUCAGAAGUCAAUGGAUUUUACAAGACCUUGUUCAAAGUUAACCAGUGGAUGUUCCAAUACAUGCUCAGUAUACUCAUUGUGGAGGAAACAAUUUGGAGGAAAAAAAGUGUGAAGAGAACUUGAAUUAUCCAGAAUAAAUGCAUUCACAAACCCUACUGACUUAUAAAGAAAACAUUGCAUAUUAUAUGUCACUUCCAAAAGAUGUUGGACCAAAAGUUAUGAAACUUUUUUGUGUGAGUCUUGUUAUUGAUCAAUUGAAUUUUUCAAGCAAAAAGAAUUCUUACCAGUAAUUCCUCAAAACCAACUGCCAUAGGCACUACUGUGACCUUACUCUCACUUUUGCAGGGAACACUGGUUCUACAUUGAGUCUGGGUAUUUUAACUUUAAAGAAUGCAGCAUCAAUAUUACUAUAUGUCUAGUCAUAAAACUAGCACUUUCUGUCAACUUCUCCAUAGUUCCUAAUAUGUAAUAAUUGGCAUCAUAAUCCCAG
rnacentral:lncRNA from 1 species